GACAGCCGAAGUCAGCGUCCGACCUCGGAACGCUCGGCCACAAGACGACCGACCCCGAAACCUCCGACCUAAGAGAAACCCCGAUGUCCGAGGACCGUACUCUAACACCCCUCCGGCAUUUAUUGCGCAUGGCCACUGUAAUCUUCCGGCACACUCAACAAUAAAUGCGGAUUUCCGGCUUACUCCAUAAUAAAUGCGGAUCUCCGGCUUACUCCACCAAUAAUGCGGAUCUCCGGCUUACUCCAUAAUAAAUGCGGAUCUCCGACUUACUCCACAAUAAAUGCGCAUGGCUCCUGACAUCUACGGAUCCCCAGCUCUCCACGGCAAAUCGACCCAGCAGGAUCUAGUCGACUAUGAUAAGUCUCUGAUCUCGGCCAUACCGCCGACAUCAGUGCAAUGAUUCGCCUGACCGAGCGCCGACCUGAACAACAUGCCAAGCCGUACUAC
rnacentral:lncRNA from 1 species